rnacentral:tRNA from 1 species
GCCGAUGUAGCUCAGUGGCUAGAGCAACUGUUUUGUAAACAGUAGGUCGUGGGUUCGAAUCCCACCGUCGGCU